rnacentral:lncRNA from 1 species
UUUGAUCUUAAUUUAAUCCUAGUUAAAAUCCUAUUGGACUUCAUUCAAAAUUUAGGCCAAAAUUAAUUAAAUUUUAAACCCUAAAUAAAUCCUAAUAAAAUCCUAAAUCCUAAAUCAAAUCCUAAACCCUAAACCAAAUUCUAACCAAACUUUAAAUCAAACCUUAAAUCUUAAAUCAAAACCUAAUUAAAUCUUAAACCCUAAAC